rnacentral:pre_miRNA from 1 species
UUAAGUAAAAGAAGGCGCAGCGGAGCAGGCCCGGGUCAGCAUACACUAGCUGACCCGGGCCUGCUCCGCUGCGCCUUCGUAUUGUAUA